rnacentral:rRNA from 1 species
GAUGAACGCUGGCGGCGUGCCUAAUACAUGCAAGUCGAGCGAACAGACGAGGAGCUUGCUCCUCUGACGUUAGCGGCGGACGGGUGAGUAACACGUGGAUAACCUACCUAUAAGACUGGGAUAACUUCGGGAAACCGGAGCUAAUCCCGGAUAAUAUAUUGAACCGCAUGGUUCAAUAGUGAAAGACGGUUUUGCUGUCACUUAUAGAUGGAUCCGCGCCGCAUUAGCUAGUUGGUAAGGUAACGGCUUACCAAGGCAAGGAUGCGUAGCCGACCGGAGAGGCUGGUCGGCCACACUGGAGCUUGGCCACGGUCCAUACUCCUACGGGAGGCAGCAGUAGGGAAUCGGCCGCAAUGGGCGAAAGCCUGACGGAGCAGCGCCGCGUGAGUGGUGAAGGUCUUCGGAUCGUAAAGCUCGGUUAUUAGGGAAGAACAAAUGUGGAAGUAACUGUGCACGUCUUGACGGUACCUAAUCAGAAAGCCACGGCUAACUACGUG